AGCGUACACGGUGGAUGCCCUGGCAGUCAGAGGCGAUGAAGGACGUGCUAAUCUGCGAUAAGCGUCGGUAAGGUGAUAUGAACCGUUAUAACCGGCGAUUUCCGAAUGGGGAAACCCAGUGUGUUUCGACACACUAUCAUUAACUGAAUCCAUAGGUUAAUGAGGCGAACCGGGGGAACUGAAACAUCUAAGUACCCCGAGGAAAAGAAAUCAACCGAGAUUCCCCCAGUAGCGGCGAGCGAACGGGGAGCAGCCCAGAGCCUGAAUCAGUGUGUGUGUUAGUGGAAGCGUCUGGAAAGGCGCGCGAUACAGGGUGACAGCCCCGUACACAAAAAUGCACAUGCUGUGAGCUCGAUGAGUAGGGCGGGACACGUGGUAUCCUGUCUGAAUAUGGGGGGACCAUCCUCCAAGGCUAAAUACUCCUGACUGACCGAUAGUGAACCAGUACCGUGAGGGAAAGGCGAAAAGAACCCCGGCGAGGGGAGUGAAAAAGAACCUGAAACCGUGUACGUACAAGCAGUGGGAGCACGCUUAGGCGUGUGACUGCGUACCUUUUGUAUAAUGGGUCAGCGACUUAUAUUCUGUAGCAAGGUUAACCGAAUAGGGGAGCCGAAGGGAAACCGAGUCUUAACUGGGCGUUAAGUUGCAGGGUAUAGACCCGAAACCCGGUGAUCUAGCCAUGGGCAGGUUGAAGGUUGGGUAACACUAACUGGAGGACCGAACCGACUAAUGUUGAAAAAUUAGCGGAUGACUUGUGGCUGGGGGUGAAAGGCCAAUCAAACCGGGAGAUAGCUGGUUCUCCCCGAAAGCUAUUUAGGUAGCGCCUCGUGAAUUCAUCUCCGGGGGUAGAGCACUGUUUCGGCAAGGGGGUCAUCCCGACUUACCAACCCGAUGCAAACUGCGAAUACCGGAGAAUGUUAUCACGGGAGACACACGGCGGGUGCUAACGUCCGUCGUGAAGAGGGAAACAACCCAGACCGCCAGCUAAGGUCCCAAAGUCAUGGUUAAGUGGGAAACGAUGUGGGAAGGCCCAGACAGCCAGGAUGUUGGCUUAGAAGCAGCCAUCAUUUAAAGAAAGCGUAAUAGCUCACUGGUCGAGUCGGCCUGCGCGGAAGAUGUAACGGGGCUAAACCAUGCACCGAAGCUGCGGCAGCGACGCUGAUGCGUUGUUGGGUAGGGGAGCGUUCUGUAAGCCUGCGAAGGUGUGCUGUGAGGCAUGCUGGAGGUAUCAGAAGUGCGAAUGCUGACAUAAGUAACGAUAAAGCGGGUGAAAAGCCCGCUCGCCGGAAGACCAAGGGUUCCUGUCCAACGUUAAUCGGGGCAGGGUGAGUCGACCCCUAAGGCGAGGCCGAAAGGCGUAGUCGAUGGGAAACAGGUUAAUAUUCCUGUACUUGGUGUUACUGCGAAGGGGGGACGGAGAAGGCUAUGUUGGCCGGGCGACGGUUGUCCCGGUUUAAGCGUGUAGGCUGGUUUUCCAGGCAAAUCCGGAAAAUCAAGGCUGAGGCGUGAUGACGAGGCACUACGGUGCUGAAGCAACAAAUGCCCUGCUUCCAGGAAAAGCCUCUAAGCAUCAGGUAACAUCAAAUCGUACCCCAAACCGACACAGGUGGUCAGGUAGAGAAUACCAAGGCGCUUGAGAGAACUCGGGUGAAGGAACUAGGCAAAAUGGUGCCGUAACUUCGGGAGAAGGCACGCUGAUAUGUAGGUGAAGUCCCUCGCGGAUGGAGCUGAAAUCAGUCGAAGAUACCAGCUGGCUGCAACUGUUUAUUAAAAACACAGCACUGUGCAAACACGAAAGUGGACGUAUACGGUGUGACGCCUGCCCGGUGCCGGAAGGUUAAUUGAUGGGGUUAGCGCAAGCGAAGCUCUUGAUCGAAGCCCCGGUAAACGGCGGCCGUAACUAUAACGGUCCUAAGGUAGCGAAAUUCCUUGUCGGGUAAGUUCCGACCUGCACGAAUGGCGUAAUGAUGGCCAGGCUGUCUCCACCCGAGACUCAGUGAAAUUGAACUCGCUGUGAAGAUGCAGUGUACCCGCGGCAAGACGGAAAGACCCCGUGAACCUUUACUAUAGCUUGACACUGAACAUUGAGCCUUGAUGUGUAGGAUAGGUGGGAGGCUUUGAAGUGUGGACGCCAGUCUGCAUGGAGCCGACCUUGAAAUACCACCCUUUAAUGUUUGAUGUUCUAACGUGGACCCGUGAUCCGGGUUGCGGACAGUGUCUGGUGGGUAGUUUGACUGGGGCGGUCUCCUCCUAAAGAGUAACGGAGGAGCACGAAGGUUGGCUAAUCCUGGUCGGACAUCAGGAGGUUAGUGCAAUGGCAUAAGCCAGCUUGACUGCGAGCGUGACGGCGCGAGCAGGUGCGAAAGCAGGUCAUAGUGAUCCGGUGGUUCUGAAUGGAAGGGCCAUCGCUCAACGGAUAAAAGGUACUCCGGGGAUAACAGGCUGAUACCGCCCAAGAGUUCAUAUCGACGGCGGUGUUUGGCACCUCGAUGUCGGCUCAUCACAUCCUGGGGCUGAAGUAGGUCCCAAGGGUAUGGCUGUUCGCCAUUUAAAGUGGUACGCGAGCUGGGUUUAGAACGUCGUGAGACAGUUCGGUCCCUAUCUGCCGUGGGCGCUGGAGAACUGAGGGGGGCUGCUCCUAGUACGAGAGGACCGGAGUGGACGCAUCACUGGUGUUCGGGUUGUCAUGCCAAUGGCACUGCCCGGUAGCUAAAUGCGGAAGAGAUAAGUGCUGAAAGCAUCUAAGCACGAAACUUGCCCCGAGAUGAGUUCU
rnacentral:rRNA from 1 species